rnacentral:rRNA from 1 species
AAAAAAGGUAAGCUACUAAGAGCGAAUGGUGGAUGCCUUGACUGGUAAAGGCGAUGAAGGACGUACUAGACUGCGAUAAGCUACGGGGAGCUGUCAAGAAGCUUUGAUCCGUAGAUUUCCGAAUGGGGCAACCCAAUGUAUAGAGAUAUACAUUACCUAUAUAGGAGCGAACGAGGGGAAUUGAAACAUCUUAGUACCCUCAGGAAAAGAAAUCAAUAGAGAUUGCGUCAGUAGCGGCGAGCGAAAGCGUAAGAGGGCAAACCCAGUGCUUGCACUGGGGGUUGUAGGACUGCAAUGUGCAAGAGGUGAGUUUAGCAGAACAUUCUGGAAAGUAUAGCCAUAGAGGGUGAUAGUCCCGUAUGCGAAAAACAAACCUUAGCUAGCAGUAUCCUGAGUAGGGCGGGACACGAGGAAUCCUGUCUGAAUCCGGGUCGACCACGAUCCAACCCUAAAUACUAAUACCAGAUCGAUAGUGCACAAGUACCGUGAGGGAAAGGUGAAAAGAACUGAGGUGAUCAGAGUGAAAUAGAACCUGAAACCAUUUGCUUACAAUCAUUCAGAGCCCUAUGUAGCAAUACAGGGUGAUGGACUGCCUUUUGCAUAAUGAGCCUGCGAGUUGUGGUGUCUGGCAAGGUUAAGCAAACGCGAAGCCGUAGCGAAAGCGAGUCUGAAUAGGGCGCUUAGUCAGAUGCUGCAGACCCGAAACGAAGUGAUCUAUCCAUGAGCAAGUUGAAGCUAGUGUAAGAACUAGUGGAGGACUGAACCCAUAGGCGUUGAAAAGCCCCGGGAUGACUUGUGGAUAGGGGUGAAAGGCCAAUCAAACUUCGUGAUAGCUGGUUCUCUCCGAAAUAUAUUUAGGUAUAGCGUUGUGUCGUAAUAUAAGGGGGUAGAGCACUGAAUGGGCUAGGGCAUACACCAAUGUACCAAACCCUAUCAAACUCCGAAUACCUUAUAUGUAAUCACAGCAGUCAGGCGGCGAGUGAUAAAAUCCGUCGUCAAGAGGGAAACAACCCAGACUACCAGCUAAGGUCCCUAAAUCUUACUUAAGUGGAAAACGAUGUGAAGUUACUUAAACAACCAGGAGGUUGGCUUAGAAGCAGCCAUCCUUUAAAGAAAGCGUAAUAGCUCACUGGUCUAGUGAUUUUGCGCGGAAAAUAUAACGGGGCUAAAGU